rnacentral:rRNA from 1 species
UACGAAGGGGGCAAGCGUUGUUCGGAAUGACUGGGCGUAAAGGGCGCGUAGGCGGUUCGUUGCGUCAGAUGUGAAAGCCCCGGGCUCAACCUGGGAACUGCAUUUGAUACGGGGCGAGCUUGAAUCCAAGAGAGGGUGGUGGAAUUCCCAGUGUAGAGGUGAAAUUCGUAGAUAUUUGGGAAGAACACCAGUGGCGAAGGCGGCCACCUGGCUUGGUAUUGACGCUGAGGCGGCGAAAAGCGUG